GGGGUUGUGGCUCAGUGGCAGAGUGCUUGUCUCACAUGUAUGAGGCCCUGGGUUUGAUCCUCAGCACCACA
rnacentral:tRNA from 1 species